rnacentral:rRNA from 1 species
AACGAACGCUGGCGGCAUGCCUAACACAUGCAAGUCGAACGAGACCUUCGGGUCUAGUGGCGCACGGGUGCGUAACGCGUGGGAACCUGCCCGUAGGUUCGGAAUAACUCCCUGAAGGGGGUGCUAAUACCGGUUAAUGUCUUCGGACCAAAGAUCUAUCGCCUUUGGAUGGGCCCGCGUUGGAUUAGCCAGUUGGUAGGGUAAAAGCCUACCAAGGCGACGAUCCAUAGCUGGUCUGAGAGGAUGAUCAGCCACACUGGGACUGAGACACGGCCCAGACUCCUACGGGAGGCAGCAGUGGGGAAUAUUGGACGAUGGGCGAAAGCCUGAUCCAGCAGUGCCGCGUGAGUGAUGAAGGCCUUAGGGUUGUAAAGCUCUUUUACCCGGGAUGAUAAUGACAGUACCGGGAGAAUAAGCUCCGGCUAACUACGUG